UUUACAUAAGUUGUCUUUUCUCACACCAUUAAAAAAAAAUAACUAAACCUUUGAUGUAACUUCCAUGCUCUCUUAUAUCUUCUCUAAUAGUACAUAUUUGAUUAUUUUAUUACACAACAUCAGAAGACUAUAUGGCUAAACUCAGUGCUACUCAUAUUCUGGAAAAAGUGUUCAUCUUUCCAACUGGCUGCUGAAGCAACUCUACCAAGGGAAAAGUAGUUCAGACUUCUCAUUCAGAUCCUGUGUUCCAAUGGGUCCAAGGAUGUUAGCCAGUCUGAAGACCUCUUCCGAGAAACAGACCCAGCACAGGAAUGUGGUUUCUUUAUCUCCGUGUCCCAUAACUUCACUCCUCACUUCUUGACCAAUCAGCAACCCCAGCUCCUGAGCUGCCUACCCAUCAAAAUUCCCUGAAAAACUCCAGUCCAAACUCCAUGGGGAGGUGAAUUUGAGGUUUGAGGUUUCCUCCCACU
rnacentral:lncRNA from 10 species